UACAGAGGGGGCAAGCGUUAUUCGGAAUCACUGGGCGUAAAGCGCACGUAGGCGGCUUUCUAAGUCAGGGGUGAAAUCCUGGAGCUCAACUCCAGAACUGCCUUUGAUACUGGAGAGCUUGAGUCCGGAAGAGGUGAGUGGAACUCCGAGUGUAGAGGUGAAAUUCGUAGAUAUUCGGAAGAACACCAGUGGCGAAGGCGGCUCACUGGGCCGGUACUGACGCUGAUGUGCGAAAGCGUGGGGAGCAAACAGG
rnacentral:rRNA from 1 species